UACGAAGGGAGCUAGCGUUGUCCGGAAUCAUUGGGCGUAAAGCGCGUGUAGGCGGUCCGGUAAGUCCGCUGUGAAAGUCGAGGGCUCAACCCUCGAAUGCCGGUGGAUACUGUCGGGCUUGAGUACGGGAGAGGCGAGUGGAAUUCCUGGUGUAGCGGUGAAAUGCGCAGAUAUCAGGAGGAACACCGAUGGCGAAGGCAGAUCUCUGGGCCGUAACUGACGCUGAGGAGCGAAAGCAUGGGGAGCGAACAGG
rnacentral:rRNA from 1 species